rnacentral:rRNA from 1 species
UAAUGAAUUUUGGACAAUGGGCGCAAGCCUGAUCCAGCCAUGCCGCGUGCAGGAUGAAGGCCCUCGGGUUGUAAACUGCUUUUGUACGGAACGAAAAGCCUCUUUCUAAUAAAGAGGGGUGAUGACGGUACCGUAAGAAUAAGCACCGGCUAACUACGUGCCAGCAGCCGCGGUAAUACGUAGGGUGCGAGCGUUAAUCGGAAUUACUGGGCGUAAAGCGUGCGCAGGCGGUCUUGCAAGACAGUGGUGAAAUCCCCGGGCUCAACCUGGGAACUGCCAUUGUGACUGCAAGGCUGGAGUACGGCAGAGGGGGAUGGAAUUCCGCGUGUAGCAGUGAAAUGCGUAGAUAUGCGGAGGAACACCGAUGGCGAAGGCAGUCCCCUGGGCCUGUACUGACGCUCAUGCACGAAAGCGUGGGGAGCAAACA